UGGGAGAUUAGGAUGAGGAUGAGUUUCAU
rnacentral:piRNA from 1 species